rnacentral:lncRNA from 1 species
AAAAAAAUAAACUUUCUCUCAAAAACCCCUCCCCUCCAGUCCAUAGCUCCGACCGAUGGCCACCGUGCCAGACUCCGGUCGUCAGCGUUAGCGCCGCCGCGCACGGUGGCCAGUGAAGGCAAAAAGGCGCAUUUUCUAGAUCUCGACCCCCCUAAGCCCAAAUCCGGCCUCAAAACACCAAAAAACGAAAGAAAAAGGACCCUCAGUCCUCUCAACGACCGAUUCAGACACUGGGGGAACCUUCGACGACAAGGGCGCAGUGCGGCUCCGGUGGGUUCCUCUUUUCUUUUUUACUAUUUGUUAUUUAUUUGUUAUGUAGAAAAAAAGUGAAAUAAAAUGUAAAAAAAACGAACGGGAGGAGUAAAAAUUCGAAUCUAGAAAUCAACCUUUCAAAAAUCGUUUUCUGUUUUUUUAUUUCUCAAUCUUCCCUCGAAAAGGCCGAACCCCCUUUUGUUUUUACAAUAAUUGGCUUUAUAGCUUAAAAGAAGAAAAAGAAAUGAAUCCCUUCCCCCGAUUUUGUGGUCUGUUUCUAUCUUUUCCUUGGUUGCGUGUUUGCAGGUGCAACUGGCGACGUGAUCGUGGCGGUGGCAAGUGGGCAGUGAGCGGCGACCGACGUGACAGUGGCGACUGAUCAGGACAAGUGGGCGACAGAAGGCUGCGGCGCCAGGCUAGGGUUUUAGUUUUCUGAAACCUUAGUUUGACUAUUGGGAAUUAGGGUAUUGGGCAUGUUGGGCCUGAUUUUGUUUGUGCUGGAUAUUGGGCUCGAGUUGUAAUGAGUAUUUGGGCCUAGUGGGCUAUUUGGGCUUAUUUUUGGGUAUGUUAUUGGGCUGGGCAAAAUUGGGCUUGUACACUUAUAUCAAAAAGCAUUUGUUUUCUCUAUUCGUAAAACUUAAACUCAAUACUUCACUCAAGA